rnacentral:lncRNA from 1 species
GGCGAUAUUUGGUGUUGUGGUUGCGAUAUCUCACAGCGAAUAUCGCGAUAUUUGGUGUUGUGGUUGCGAUAUCUCACAGCAAAUAUCGCGAUAUUUGGUGUUGUGGUUGCGAUAUCGCAGUCGAAUCGCGAUAUUUGGUGUUGUGGUUGUGAUAUCUCAUGGAAUAUCAAUUUUCCCAUGGAAUUCCCAGGAUUUUCCCAUGGAAUUCCCAGGGAUUUUCCCAUGGAAUUCCCGGGGAUUUUCCCAUGGAUUUUCCCAUGGAAUUCCCAGGAUUUUUCCAUGGAAUUCCCAGACUUUUCCAUGGAUUUUUCCCAUGGAAUUCCCGGCAUUUUCCCAGGGAUUUUCCCGGGAUUUGGGGUCUCACCUGCUCCCCCCAGGAGCCCCAGGGUGACAAAACCCCCCCGAAUUCCCCCCGUUUUUUAGGGAUUUGAACCCCCAGGAAUUCCGGGAUUUUCCCGGGAUUUUCCCAUGGAAUUCCCGGGAUUUUCCCAUGGGUUUUUCCCGGGAUUUGGGGUCUCACCUGCGGCGCUGGGGCCCCCCCAGGAGCCCCAGGGUGAAUCCCACGGCCACGCAGACGCCCAGGGCGGCCCCGAGCGGGGCCAGGCGGCGCCAGCCGGGGGGGGGGGCCCCCAUGGGAUCCCCGAAUUCCCGCUCCGGUCCCGGAAUUCCUGACACGGAUCCCAAAAAAAAUCCUGACACGGAUCCCAAAAAUUCCUGUCACGGAUCCCCGAAUUCCCGCUCCGGUCCCGGAAUUCCUGACACGGAUCCCAAAAAAUUCCUGUCACGGAUCCCAAAAAACCCUGACACAGAUCCCAAAAUUCCCGCUCCGAUCCCAAAAAUCCUGUCCCGAUCCCAAAAAAUUCCAGUCCCGAUCCCAAAUUCCCGUCCCGGAUCCCCAAAUCCCAAUUCCCAGAGCUCCCAAAUCCCAUUCCCGGUCCCAUUCCCGGUUUUUCCCCAUCCCAUUCCCGGUUUUUCGGUUUUUCCCGGUCCCAUUCCCGGUCCCAUUCCCGGUUUUUCCCCAUCCCAUUCCCGGUUUUUCCGGUUUUUCCCGGUCCCAUUCCCGGUCCCAUUCCCGGUCCCAUUCCCGGUUUUUCCCGGUUUUUCCCGGUUUUUCCCGGUUUUUCCCGGUUUUUCCCCUCUCACCGCGGCCUCGCUCAGCUCCGCCGCAUCCCGGGACGAUCCCAAAAAACUUCCCGGGAAUCUCCAGAAAACUUCCCGCGAACGCCGGACUUUCCCGCGAACGCCGGACUUUCCCGCGAACGCCGGACUUUCCCGGGAAUCCCGGAUUUUCCCGGGAACGCCGGAUUUUCCCGGGAACGCCGAGCUCUUCCCGCUUUUCCCGAUCCUUCUGUUCCCGGCCCCGCGGAACUUUUCCCCCUUUGUCCCCGGCCCCGCCCCGGGAAUGGGGAGGAGCGGCCGGGAGGGAACGGGGGAACUCGGGAUUUGGGAUUUGGGAAUUCGGGAAUUCGGGAAUUCGGGAAUUUGGGAUCGGGGAUUUGGGAUUUGGGAUCGGGAAUGGGGAGGAGCGGCCGGGAGGGAACGGGGGAACUCGGGAUUUGGGAUUUGGGAAUUCGGGAAUUCGGGAAUUCGGGAAUUUGGGAUCGGGAAUUGGGGAGGAGCGGCCGGGAGGGAACGGGGGAAUUCGGGAUUUGGGAAUUCGGGAUUUGGGAUUUGGGAUCGGGAAUUUGGGAUUUGGGAUCGGGAAUUCGGGAUUUGGGAUCGGGAAUGGGGAGGAGCGGCCGGGAGGGAAAAGGGAACGGGGAAUUCGGGAUUUGGGGAUUUGGGAAUUCGGGAUUUGGGAUCGGGAAUUUGGGAUUUGGGAUCGGGAAUUCGGGACUUGGGGAUUUGGGAUCGGGAAUUUCGGGAUUUGGGAUCGGGAAUUCGGGAAUUUGGGAUUUGGGACAGGGAACGGGGCAGAGCGGGAAUGGAUUCGGGAAUUCGGGAAUUUGGGAUUUGGGGAAUUUGGGAUCGGGAAGUGGGGCAGGGAAUGGGAUUUUAGGGCCAGGAACAGGAUCGGGACUGGGAUUUGGGAUCGGGAAUUUGGGAAUUCGGGAUUUGGGAUCGGGAAUUUUGGGAUCCAGCCCCCUCCGAACCCCGAAUUCCCGGCAGAAUUCCCAAAUUUCGGGGGAUUUUGGGAUCUCUCCCUACACGAGGAGGCCCCGCCCACUCCUCGCAUAACCACGCCCACUACUCGCAUAUCCCCGCCCCUUCAGAUCACGUGAUGUGGGACCUGUCCCCGCCCCCCGAGGCGCGGGAAAGUGCCGGCCGC